rnacentral:rRNA from 1 species
GACGAACGCUGGCGGCGUGCUUAACACAUGCAAGUCGAACGGUAAGGCUCCAGCUUGCUGGGGUACACGAGUGGCGAACGGGUGAGUAACACGUGGGUGACCUGCCCUGCACUUCGGGAUAAGCCUGGGAAACUGGGUCUAAUACCGGAUAGGACCGCACCGUGAGGGUGUGGUGGAAAGUUUUUUCGGUUUGGGAUGGGCCCGCGGCUUAUCAGCUUGUUGGUGGGGUAAUGGCCUACCAAGGCGGCGACGGGUAGCCGGCCUGAGAGGGUGGACGGCCACAUUGGGACUGAGACACGGCCCAGACUCCUACGGGAGGCAGCAGUGGGGAAUAUUGCACAAUGGGCGGAAGCCUGAUGCAGCGACGCCGCGUGGGGGAUGACGGCCUUCGGGUUGUAAACUCCUUUCGCCAUCGACGAAGGGUUUCUGACGGUAGAUGGAGAAGAAGCACCGGCUAACUACGUG